rnacentral:piRNA from 1 species
UGGGUAGUUUCCAGUGCUGUGAUUUGCCCCC